rnacentral:rRNA from 1 species
CAGGGAAUCUUUCGCAAUGGACGCAAGUCUGACGGAGCAACGCCGCGUGAGUGAAGAAGGAUUUCGGUUCGUAAAACUCUGUUGUUAGAGAAGAACAGCGCAUAGAGUAACUGUUAUGCGUGUGACGGUAUCUAACCAGAAAGCCACGGCUAACUACGUGCCAGCAGCCGCGGUAAUACGUAGGUGGCAAGCGUUGUCUGGAUUUAUUGGGCGUAAAGCGAGCGCAGGCGGUCAAUUAAGUCUGAUGUGAAAGCCCCCGGCUCAACCGGGGAGGGUCAGUUGAAACUGGUUGGCUUGAGUGCAGAAGGGGGGGGUGGAAUUCCAGGUGUAGCGGUGAAAUGCGUAGAUAUAUGGAGGAACACCAGUGGCGAAGGCGACUCUCUGGUCUGUAGCUGACGCUGAGGGUCGAAAGCGUGGGUAGCAAACAGG